rnacentral:rRNA from 1 species
CUGGCUCAGAACGAACGCUGGCGGCAGGCUUAACACAUGCAAGUCGAGCGCCCCGCAAGGGGAGCGGCAGACGGGUGAGUAACGCGUGGGAAUCUACCCAUCUCUACGGAAUAACGCAUGGAAACGUGUGCUAAUACCGUAUACGUCCUUCGGGAGAAAGAUUUAUCGGAGAUGGAUGAGCCCGCGUUGGAUUAGCUAGUUGGUGGGGUAAAGGCCUACCAAGGCGACGAUCCAUAGCUGGUCUGAGAGGAUGAUCAGCCACACUGGGACUGAGACACGGCCCAGACUCCUACGGGAGGCAGCAGUGGGGAAUAUUGGACAAUGGGCGCAAGCCUGAUCCAGCCAUGCCGCGUGAGUGAUGAAGGCCCUAGGGUUGUAAAGCUCUUUCACCGGUGAAGAUAAUGACGGUAACCGGAGAAGAAGCCCCGGCUAACUUCGUGCCAGCAGCCGCGGUAAUACGAA